CGAGUGAAGCGGCAACAGCUCAAAUUUGAAAGCUAGCCUUCGGGUUCGCAUUGUAAUUUGUAGAGGAUGAUUUGGGGAAGCCGCCUGUCUAAGUUCCUUGGAACAGGACGUCAUAGAGGGUGAGAAUCCCGUAUGUGACAGGAAAUGGCACCCUAUGUAAAUCUCCUUCGACGAGUCGAGUUGUUUGGGAAUGCAGCUCUAAAUGGGAGGUAAAUUUCUUCUAAAGCUAAAUAUUGGCGAGAGACCGAUAGCGCACAAGUAGAGUGAUCGAAAGAUGAAAAGCACUUUGGAAAGAGAGUUAAAAAGCACGUGAAAUUGUUGAAAGGGAAGCGCUUGCAAUCAGACUUGUUUAAACUGUUCGGCCGGUCUUCUGACCGGUUUACUCAGUUUGGACAGGCCAGCAUCAGUUUCGGCGGCCGGAUAAAGGCUCUGGGAAUGUGGCCUCCACUUCGGUGGAGGUGUUAUAGCCCAGGGUGUAAUACGGCCAGCCGGGACUGAGGUCCGCGCUUCGGCUAGGAUGCUGGCGUAAUGGUUGUAAGCGACCCGUCUUGAA
rnacentral:rRNA from 1 species